rnacentral:rRNA from 1 species
CUCGUAGGUGGCCAACUAAGUCAGACGUGAAAUCCCUCGGCUUAACCGGGGAACUGCAUCUGAUACUGGAUGGCUUGAGAUUGGGAGAGGGAUGCGGAAUUCCAGGUGUAGCGGUGAAAUGCGUAGAUAUCUGGAGGAACACCGGUGGCGAAGGCGGCAUCCUGGACCAACACUGACACUGAGGAGCGAAAGCCAGGGGAGCAAAC